rnacentral:ncRNA from 1 species
AUCGUCUUGGUCCCAGACUUAUCAUUAUUAAGAGCUGAGAUUACACAUGCCAGCAUCCACCCCCCAGUGCAUCCGCCCAAAACAUUACCCAAUAAGCCUGGAGCAGGCAUCAGGCACGCAACCAGCAGCCCAAAACGCCCAGCUAGGCCACACCCACACGGAUUACAGCAGUGAUAAACCUUAAGCAAUGAGCUCACCAAGCUCGACUUAGCCCCAGCUCAUCCCGGGCCGGCAAACUUCGUGCCAGCCGCCGCGGCUAUACGAAAGGCCCAAAAUAAUGAACACCGGCGUAAAAAGUGACUAGAGACCUGCCAAACAAAGAAAUUAAAAUUGCACACCAGUCGUAAAACACACACCAUAGCAAGAACACUUACCAAUUUCCUACAAGGCCCCCUUGAACCCACGACAGCUAGGACACAAACUAGGAUUAGAUACCCUACUAUGCCUAGACAUUAACCCGACAUCAAACACUACCACGGUGUCCGCCAGAAAACUACAAGUGAAAAACUCAAAACUCAAAGGACUUGACGGUGUCCCAUAUCAACCUAGAGGAGCCUGUCCUAUAAUCGAUACUCCACGCUUCACCUUACCCCUUCUUGUAAGUCCAACCUAUAUACCGCCGUCGUCAGCCCACCUCGUAAGAGCCCCCACUGUGAGCCCCAAAGCCCCCCACUCUCACGCCAGGUCAAGGUGUAGUCCAUGAAGGGGCAGUGAUGGGCUACAUUUUCUAACCUAGAUUAUACCCACGCAUACAUGAAACAUCUGCCAAAAGGCGGAUUUAGCAGUAAGCACAGCAAGCACGCUCACCUGAACCCCGCCCUGGGACGCGCACACACCGCCCGUCACCCUCCUCACCACAUAAGAAAUCAUACAUAAACCACCAUAUUAAAACCAGAUGAGGAAAGUCGUAACAUGGUAAGCGUACCGGAAGGUGCGCUUGGUUAACA